rnacentral:rRNA from 1 species
CCCUUAGAUGUUCUGGGCCGCACGCGCGCUACACUGAUGCAUUCAACGAGCCUAUCCUUGACCAACAGGUCCGGGUAAUCUUUGAAUCUGCAUCGUGACGGGGAUAGAUUAUUGCAAUUAUUAAUCUUCAACGAGGAAUGCCUAGUAGGCGCAAGUCAUCAGCUUGCGUCGAUUACGUCCCUGCCCUUUGUACACACCGCCCGUCGCUCCUACCGAUUGGGUGUGCUGGUGAAAUGUUCGGAUCGGCCGUUUGUCGCGGUUUCCGCGGCUCGUGGCUGAGAAGUUCAUUAAACCCUCCCACCUAGAGGAAGGAGAAGUCGUAACA